UCCCUGGUGGCUGAGAAGAUAAAGGAUCUGCCUGGAAUGCAGGAGACCCAGGUUAGAUCUCUGGGUUGGGAA
rnacentral:tRNA from 1 species